GCAGAUAAGCUUCAUGCCAUCGAGUUUUAUUAACUUGGACUGGCCAUAGCCUUUAAAUUCGGGCAAUGGCAAAUACGCUCCAUGCCCUCGAGUUUUAUUAACUCGGACUAUCCUUAGCCUUUGAAUUCGGGCAAUUCAAAAUAAGCUUCAUGCCCUCAAGUUGUAUUAACUCGGACUAGCCUUAGUCUUCAAAUACGGGCAAUGCCUAAUAAGCUUCAUGCCCUCGAGUUUUAUUAACUCGGACAAGACCUAGCCUUUAAAUCCGAGCAAAUCCAAAUAACCUUCAUGCCCUCGAGUUUUAUUAACUCGGACUAGACCUAGCCUUUAUAUCCGAGCAAUGCCAAAUAAGAUUCAUGCCCUCGAGUUUUAUUAAAUCACACUUGCCUUAGCCUUUAUAUUCGGGCAAUGCCAAAUA
rnacentral:lncRNA from 1 species